CGUAGCCUGGGGGCGGGGUUCCAGUCACUUCCCUUUCGGGUGGUUUGGUUCUCGCCUUUUCUUUCGCUGUGGAGACAAGAUCUAACACGAGAUGGAAACUGUUCCAGAAAAAGAACUACAUGAAGAACUUAUUGCUGGAAAAUCUGGCAACAAAUUGCAAGUGACAGCCAGGUCAAGACUCCAUGAAAAAAAGUUAUCAGUUCCACCCGGACAAGGUGAUUUUCCUAACUAGGUUGGAGCAGGCAUGUCUUGUCACAAUUAAGAGGUUUCUCUCUCGAGUAUAAUUUGCAGUGGUCACUAAGUGUUGAUCUACGACUGAAGCCUUUUCCACAUUGCUCACGUGUGAAUGGCUUCUCUACAGUGCAGGGAAUCUCUGAUGAGUUUGCAGACAUGAACUCUGACGAAAUUCAUACUUAACAUCAUUUUCUCCCAUGUGACAUCUGAUGAAUGCAAAGUGCUAAACUGUCAAAGAAGUGUUUCCCACACUCCUGA